UCUACGGCCGUACCACCCUGAACACGCCCGAUCUCGUCUGACCUUGGACGCUAAGCAGGGUCGGGCCUGGUUAGUACUUGGAUGGGAGAUAAGCGAUCUAGCCAGUUCAUCCCAAUGCUCAAGCGAGUGCUGGAGGA
rnacentral:rRNA from 1 species